GAUAAACGCUGGCGGCGUGCAUGAGACAUGCAAGUCAUACGGACGAGCUUGCUCGUCAGUGGCGAACGGCUGAGUAACGCGUAGGUGACCUGCCCCGAAGUGGGGGAUAACUGCCCGAAAGGGUGGCUAAUACCGCAUGUGGCGACGUGUUCAUUCACGUCAUCAAAGCCGCGAGGCGCUUCGGGAGGGGCCUGCGUCCGAUUAGCUCGUUGGUGGGGUAACGGCUCACCAAGGCGACGAUCGGUAGGUGGUCUGAGAGGACGAUCACCCAGACUGGGACUGAGACACGGCCCAGACUCCUACGGGAGGCAGCAGUCGGGAAUUUUGCUCAAUGGGGGAAACCCUGAAGCAGCAACGCCGCGUGCGGGAUGAAGGCCUUCGGGUUGUAAACCGCUUUUACCAGGGACGAUAAUGACGGUACCUGGUGAAUAAGUCACGGCUAACUACGUGCCAGCCGCCGCGGUAAGAC
rnacentral:rRNA from 1 species